GUACAAGGCACAUUCUUGGAGGGGAAGUACCAUCCUCUUGCGAUGAUUCAGGGCCAGACUAGCCAGGAUGGGAAGACACACGCGCGUCCCUUUUCUCGUCGCUGACCCCUUUUCAGAUGCUCUAGGCUGGCAGGCAGGAGAACAGAAAGAAUUGAAAUAAACCCAGCAUCCUCCUUCUAAGAAAAACAGUGAAUUUAGCAGCAAAGCUCCCUCCCGAAGUUCUAAAGCUGCGCUGAUGCUGAGUAGAUAUGAGCUGGGGCGGUGCUUGUCUGUUUCUCCAUCCUUAACACGUCCUAGGGUUCUGAUCCAGUAGGUCUGAGAACCUCGCCGGUUAUGCUGCUGCUGCUGUCUGUGGACCCCGCUUGGGAGAAGUAAGCAAGUGAUAUAAUUUAAAAGGUGUAGAAGAAAGACCAAGAACAUUUGCUGAAAUUGACUCAGAAAAUUUGGGAGAUAAGCGGAUAGAAUAUGAACAAGAAAAGAUCACCUCGAUUGAGUCUUCAAAUAAUUGUGAGACGUGUUUAUUUAGAAAGACACUCCUGGGGAUCCAUAUGUUCAAAGAGAAGAAGAAUGAACUCAAAGGUGAUAUCAUUGUGAUGCAUUUGAUUAAUGGAAAGGACAACAUUAAUGGUUAUAGGAAAAGUGCUUUUACAUAACUUGAAAAGGUAGAACAGACACAACCUCAUAACAUUUCAUUGACCAGGAAUGUAUUUUACCCUGAGGCUCAAGAGCUUUAAAGCCACAUAAAGUAUUUCAUUGUCUUGUGAUUCAUAAUGCUGGCGCAUCUUAAAUCACACUCAACAUACAGUGCUUGUUUCCCCACGUCAUCUUCCCACAGAGAAACUGAGGAACACGAAGGCAAGUGACAUUCUCUGGAGUAAAAUCCUUCACUUCUAUAUUAAAUAUUUUUGUUCGUUUCUUGUUUGGUAUCUCCAUAUCUCACUUUGAAGUUUCUGCUUCCAAAAUUACCGUGUGUCAUAUAUUUUUCGAUAUCUAUCAUCUGCAGCAGUGUAGUUUUGGUUUGAACUAGGCAGAUGGUGCCUGAAGGUCCCGUCUACACGCAUUUGUUUUGACUUUGAGAGGAAUGAGUCAGUAUGGCAGAGUGAUUAAAGUUCAGUGUUUGGUUUCAGACAGACCCAGUUCAAAUGCAAGACCUGGCUUAUUUACUUCAUCUCUGAGUCUCAUUUCCCUCAACUGUAAAACAGAUAGCUGUAAUAAUGCUUACUGCAAUUGGUUGUUAAGAGCAUUAAUUAAGUGGUGAAUGUAAGACCUUCAACAUAGUGUCCAGCACAUGGUAAAAGCUAAAGGCGGGAUAAUUAUUUUUGAGCUCUUCAUUAGAUAAUGUUUGGAGAAUUACAAGACUUAUAUGAUGGCAUUUACUUAUUAGGAUGGAAACUCAAGUCCUUCUUGCUUCAUGUAGCAUCCUUAAGCUAUAACAAUCUCCUCUGCAUUUGACACUAAUUGCACAUUUUGAGAUACCUCUAUUAUUAUUUUCUACGAUAGAGUAGAGAUUAUUGCCUCAAACCAUGAGAUAAAAAGGCCAGAAAUGAGAUUUCUACUUCUGGGAAGAGAGAGUAGAUAUACUUUUCCUUACUUCUCCCAUUAAGUACAACUUAAAACUCUGCACAUUAUCUAUAAAACAAACAUAAAUAGACUCUGAAAGGUGGGAGAAGAAGGCAGACCAGUCAGUGACCUUGGGACACAAGGAAUGACAUGAUGGUGAAUUCCUUGGGUUUUCUUUUUGCCUCAUAUCCUGGAUUGGGUGCUGGAGAAGCCCACAACCCAGUAACACCAACAGGCACAGACCAAAAAACAGAGCCCACAUUUUCCAACCAAAGGACCAGGAAAGCAGCAGCCUAGCAAGAUAGAAAACUUUGAGACAAUAACUACUCUACUCCAGCCAAACACCACCGAAAACACUCUACCCACCCCUACCCAUAACACGAAAGGCCAAAUGGGGAGCCCAGAUGUCCAUCCUCUCUAGGCUGAAAUAAAGCACCCCAACGACCCCAACAGUGUGAUGUUGGAGAAGGCUAUGCUAUGUAGGGAGCUGGAACUUUUACCCUCAUGAAGGAAUGAUGAGCUCACCACCCCAAUACUCCACAAUGACAGUACUAACCAUGUCGGGUGCCUGGACUUCCAUGCCUACCUGGCAGUAAAGAAGUGUCCUUCCCACUCUGAUUAUAGUGGUUUCAGAGGAGGCCUAAUGGUAAGAUAGGACUUUCACCACAGCCCAGCAAUAAUGAUUACAAGGCCACUCUCCCCACUCCAACUUGGUGUCAAGGGAAGUUACAUGGAGAGCAGUAAUGAGGCAGUCCUACCCCUUCCAGCCGAGGAGAUAUCAGUGGACUUCUAGUGGGAUGCCAGAAUUCACACCACCAUCUAGCAGUAACAAGGAGCCCCCACUUGAACUGUCAACAGAGGCUGAGUACUGGAUGUCUACCCCACCUGGCAAUAAUGAGGCAGUUUUCCCACCACCACCUCUUCCCCUGCUGAAGUGGUGUCAGAGAAAGCCAGCUAAAAGAGAAGGUUUAAAUAAGAUUCAGAGUCUUAUAAUACCUAAAAUGUCCACAUUUCAAAUGAAAUUCACUCACUAUACCAAGAACCAGGAAGAUCUCACUUAAUGAAAAAAAUGAUGGGGACCAACUCCUAGAUGACAGAAAGUUUAGAAUUAUCUGGCAAAGAUUUUAAAGCAGCCACCAUAAAAAUGCUUUAAUGAGCAAUUACAAACAUGCUAGAAACAGAUGAAAAAAACCAAAGUCUCAGCAAAGAAACAGAAGAUAUGAAGAAUCAAUUGGAAAUUUUAGAACCAAAAAUAAAAUAACUGAAGAUAAACCCAAUAGAUGAUCUCAAUAGCAGAAUGAAGAAGACAAAGGAAAGAAUUAGUAAACUUGUAGAUAGAACAAGAAAAAUUACCCAACCUGAAAAGAAAAAAAAUAGACAGAAAAAAAUGAAUGGAAUAUCAGGGACUCAUGGGAUUAUAACAAAAGAUCUAACAUUUGGGUCAUCAGAGUCCUGGAAGGAGAGGAUAAAGAGGGACUUAAGGAAAUAAUGACUGAAAACUUUCCAAAUUUAACAAGUCAUAAACCUACAGAUUCAAGAAACUGAAUGAAUUCCAAAUGGGAUAAAACAAAAGAAACUUAUGACAAGACAUAUCAUAGUCAAAAUUCUGAAGGUUGAAGACAAAGAAAAAAUCUUUGAAAACAGUGAAAGAGAAAUGACACAUUACCUUACUUGCAAAGGGUAAACAAUUCAAAUAACAGUAAUUUAUCAUCAGAAAUUAUACAAGGCAAAAGAAAGUGGCAAACAUUUUUCAAGUGAUAAAAGAAAAGAACUGUCAACUCAGAAUCCAGCAAAAAUAUCCUUCAGGAAUGAAGGAGCAAUGAAGACACUCUUGGAUGAAGAAAAACUAAGAGAAUUUGUUGCCAGCAGACUUACCGUAAAAGAAUGGCCAAAGGAAGUUCUCUAAACAGAAAGAAAAUGAUAGAAGGAACCUUGGAAUAUCAGGAAGGUAGAAAGGAUAUGACAAGAAGGAUAAGCAAAAUAUAGAAUUAUGGUACUUAGUCAAUCAUUCGUUCGUUCCGGGCUUUGGGCGUGUCUCCCCUCUGGGGAGGGUGGGCGUCGCCUGCAUCCCUAAGCGGAUCUUCCAGCGCCUCUUCUAGCGCGGCAGCAGGAGAAGCCCUUCCAGGCCACUUCCCUCACUUGCCAGCGGGCAUCAGAGCCGGCGUUUGGCUGAGUCCCGCGCUCCUCUCUACCCGUCUCAGGGGAAGAAGUGCCCAAGGGAGUAUCCGAACUUCCGCGUGUUGCUGCAGCCCCGAGAUCCCCACGUCGAGGAGACAGGACGUGUGCAGGGGUGAGCUCCACAGUCACACCAGCGGCAUGUGCGAGGGGGCUCUGCAGGGGUGAGAGCGGAGAGCUGUGAUUACGAGUUACUAGCGCCCACUCUCCUGCGCUCCUGCUCUUCCAUCCUCAUUUCGGCCUCUGCGACAUCCUAGCCUACCUGCUCGAGGAUUCUCUGGCCUGACGAGGAGAGGCAGACUAAAAGGCUGCAAGAUCGAUUCCAAAUU
rnacentral:lncRNA from 1 species